rnacentral:rRNA from 1 species
AAUAUUUUACAAUGGGCGCAAGCCUGAUCCAGCCAUGCCGCGUGAGUGAUGAAGGNCCNNGGGUUNUNAAGCACUUUCAAUGGNNNNNAUAAUGACGGUCACCGUAGAAGAAUACCCUGCUAACUUCGUGCCAGCAGCCGCGGUAAUACGAAGGGGGCUAGCGUUGUUCGGAAGUACUGGGCGUAAAACGCACGUUGGCGGAUCGAUCAGUUAGGGGUGAAAUCCCAGGGCUCAACCCUGGAACUGCCUCUAAUACUGUCGAUGUCGAGUGCGAGAGAGGUGAGUGAAAUUCCGAGUGUAGAGGUGAAAUUCGUAGAUAUUCGGAGGAACACCAGUGGCGAAGGCGGCUCACUGGCUCGAUACUGACGCUGAGGUGCGAAAGCGUGGGGAGCAAACA